GGCCUACGGGAGGCAGCAGUGGGGAAUAUUGCACAAUGGGCGCAAGCCUGAUGCAGCCAUGCCGCGUGUGUGAAGAAGGCCUUCGGGUUGUAAAGCACUUUCAGUCAGGAGGAAAGGUUAACGGUUAAUACCCGUUAGCUGUGACGUUACUGACAGAAGAAGCACCGGCUAACUCCGUGCCAGCAGCCGCGGUAAU
rnacentral:rRNA from 1 species